CCUACGGGUGGCAGCAGUAGGGAAUUUUCGGCAAUGGAGGGAACCCUGACCGAGCAACGCCGCGUGAACGAAGAAGUUAUUCGUAAUGUAAAGUUCUUUUAACAGGGGAGAAAGAGAAAUUUGACGUUACCUGCAGAAUAAGCUCCGGCUAACUACGUGCCAGCAGCCGCGGUAAUACGUAGGGAGCGAACGUUAUCCGGAAUCAUUGGGCGAAAGGGGUGCGUAGAUGGGAUAGUAAGUCUGUUGUAAAAAUGCUGGGCUAAACCCAGUAGGGCAAAAGAUACUGCAAAGCUAGAGUAUGACAGCGGCAAGUGGAACUAAAUGUGUAGCGGUAAAAUGCGUAAAUAUCUGUCAGAACACCAGUGGCGAAGGCGGCUUGCUGAGUCGAUACUGACAUUGAGGCACGAAAGCGUGGGGAGCAAACAGGAUUAGAUACCCGAGUAGUC
rnacentral:rRNA from 1 species